GGUUAUGGUAUGGCUCUUAUCGUAAAUCUUCUCGUUGUGACGGUGCCUUUGACUACUGGGGAAAGGGAACAACGGUGACUGUAACAUCAGCUCAACCUUCUGCGCCAAAGUCAAUCUUCCCCAUGUCCCAGUGUACUUCUGAUUCUGAUGCGUUCCUCACCAUCGGCUGCUUGGCAAGAGGUUUCUCACCUGUGGACUCGCUUACUUUUAAAUGGACGGAUUCUACUACGAAGGAUUUGAGUGAUUUCGUGCAGUAUCCAGCAUUCGGACCGGAUGGAGACUAUACCAAAAUCAGCUCUCUGCGCAUAAGAAAAAGCGAUUGGGAUCCUAAGAAACCGUACAAAUGCGAAGCUUCAAAUUCUAAAGGCACACUAGAAUCCCCUGUUGCUCCACGGAGUCCAAGAAAUCCAACCCUGGUUCCUGUAACAACCCUAAAAACUAAAUUGUCACUGACAAUGAAGCCACCAAUUCAGAAAGAACUUUUUGUUAAUGAUAAAAUUGUCUUGCAAGCUGUUGUUUCUGGAGAUGUAAGAAAUACAGUGCAAGACACUUCAGUAUCAUGUAAAGUGAAGGAUGAACAUGUGCCCAAUGAAAAUAUUGCAACAGGGAAUGUUGAAUUUUCUACUGACACGUCACAAUUUAAAAUAAUUCACAAUGUCACCGUUAAUACAAAUAAAUGGUUUGAUGGUUUCAUGGUCACCUGCACCAUCAGUGACAUAAAUAACGGAGACAUCAAGCAGACGAUCCGUUUUCAAAAAGGAGAUGAAAAUAAACCAAAUGUUACCAUUUACAAACCUGAUAGUAACGUCACAGAUCAUGUCUCUCUGGUGUGUGAGGUCACCAGUCCUAAACUCAGCGAUGUCUAUAUCAUGUGGAGAGUGGGUAAAGAGUCUUACAGAGAGGGCACAAACAGUGCUCCCAUCCAUCAAAAGCACUCCACGUCUGUUCUCAGCAUCCUAACAGUUUCAGAACAAGAGUAUAAAAACACCAUCAGCUGCGCAGUCAAAUAUGCCAACAUGGACAAAAAAGGUGUUCCAUUAGAAGUUUCAACAAGCCAAAGUAAACAGCCAGAACUUUCAUCUGAAAAAAGAUGUAUGAUUUAUGUUCUCACAUAUGUGUUGCACCAUGUGCUUACCAUACAUAUGUCUCCUGUACAUGUGUUUUCUUUUUUAGGUGAGCCACCUGAGCCAGAGACAGGCUUUGCUCUGGACUGCAAUAAAGAUGUUCUGGAGGAGGAUGAGUUCAGAAGUCUCUGGUCCACUGCCACCUCAUUUAUCUUCCUCUUCCUCUUUUCUCUGACCUACAGCGCUGUGCUCAGCUUCUUCAAGGUGAAGCAGUGAUGAUUUGUUAAAAGAACUUGUGAAGACUCAAAGGUUUUUUAUUUGUUUUGUGACUGUAAUUAAAUGUUAGUCUAAUGUAUUUAGAAAUCAAAUAACCAUGCCAUCUCUAUCUCUCUUUUGCUCUGUCUGUUCCUGUCUUUCUGUAAGCUUGUCUGAAAAACAUAUGGGCUUUCUGAGAUGUUGAAACUACAUAAUUUGCCUCUGUGCACACAUUUUUGAAGAC